CUAACGAGGACGAAGCAGCAGAGCUCCUUAG
rnacentral:sRNA from 1 species